rnacentral:rRNA from 1 species
AGUGGCGGACGGGUGAGUAACGCGUGAGACUCUGCCUUGGGGUCGGGGACAACCACUGGAAACGGUGGCUAAUACCGGAUAAGCCGAUUGGUGAAAGAUUUAUUGCCCGAAGAGGAGCUCGCGUCUGAUUAGCUAGUUGGUGAGGUAAGAGCUCACCAAGGCAGCGAUCAGUAGCUGGUCUGAGAGGACGAUCAGCCACACUGGGACUGAGACACGGCCCAGACUCCUACGGGAGGCAGCAGUGGGGAAUUUUCCGCAAUGGGCGAAAGCCUGACGGAGCAAGACCGCGUGAGGGAGGAAGGCUCUUGGGUUGUAAACCUCUUUUCUCAGGGAAGAAGCUCUGACGGUACCUGAGGAAUCAGCCUCGGCUAACUCCGUGCCAGCAGCCGCGGUAAUACGGAGGAGGCAAGCGUUAUCCGGAAUUAUUGGGCGUAAAGCGUCCGCAGGUGGCGAUUCAAGUCUGCUGUCAAAGCACGGGGCUUAACUCCGUAAAGGCAGUGGAAACUGAAUAGCUAGAGUGCCGUAGGGGUAGAGGGAAUUCCCGGUGUAGCGGUGAAAUGCGUAGAGAUCGGGAAGAACAUCGGUGGCGAAAGCGCUCUACUGGACGGCAACUGACACUCAGGGACGAAAGCUAGGGGAGCGAAUGGGAUUAGAUACCCC